UUUGUAGUAUAAUAUGGAAUUUAUUUGAUUUUCUAGGUGCUUUCUCCAAAGACAAAGGACCUUGGAUUAUUAAACCAGUGGCUUCUUCUAGAGGAAGAGGGAUAUAUCUUGUCAGCAAUCCAAACCAGAUUCCUUUGGAUGAAAAUAUUCUUGUUUCACGCUAUAUCAACAACCCUCUGCUUAUUGAUGAUUUCAAGUUUGAUGUCAGAUUGUAUGUCCUUGUUUCAUCCUAUGAUCCCCUCGUUAUUUAUCUUUAUGAAGAAGGCCUAGCAAGGUGUGGAUCUACUAGAUGCACAUAGUUUUUAGGCAUUGUGGGUUCAGAAUCUAAUCCAGUAUCACUGU